UAUCAUAUACUGUCCCGUCGUUGUUUACGCAAUUUCGGCAUGCACUAUUGGUGGAUUGCAGCCAGUUUCGUGUCGGUCGCUGUUUAAUCUAGUUGUGUUUUGAGAGACUUAUAUCUUAUAUCGUUUAUUCGGACUUCAAUAUUCUAAAUUUGUGUUAUACUCGAUGAUCAAUCGACUAUUUAUUAGUACUUUGCGACUAUAGUAAUUUGUUUAAUGUUCGGAAAUGCCGGUUUUUGAUCGCGUUUGUUAGGUAUAUUACAGUCACGUGAUAGUGGAUUUGAUAACAUUCUUCAUUCGGCGUUGUGUGUGGUGUCGGUUACUAUAUUAAUCGGAUAUAUACCGGCCCAUGUUGAUUCUCAUCAUUAAGAAAAAUCCAUCAGGCUCGUUUACAGCACUCGUUGUGCCUGGCAGUCCGAUAAGCUGUACACGGUAUUCGCCGUACCCUUCUACUGCUACCUUUGUACGGUGCCUUGAAUGGGAGUCACUUCUACCGCUACCUUUGCACGGUGCCCUAAAUGGGAGUCUUUAUGGAUCCUUUGUUGCAUGAAGCAUUGGCUUAUCCUGAGAUGGCCAAGUUUAUCAAUAAGGAUCAACUGGAGAAGUUCCGUGGUACUGGUGGACGUUUUGAUUACUGAAGACGGAUGUGUCAACUGGACAAAAGUUUCAAGAACUGUCCAAGAAAUUGAAGAUUGGAUUGCCGGUGUUGAUGAUGAUUCCAAAUACGAUUGAAUGAAUUUACAACAUUUGGAUGCUGUUAUUGAUAUCAUUUUUGUUUAUUUUGUUAAAAGUUAUAAAAAGAGCAUUAUGUAAUUGCAUAUUAUUACCUUGUUUUCAUAUUGUUAAAAAUGCUGUACAUAUUUAGAAAAUGAGUUGGCUGUGUAUAUUCUUCAUGUUUUAAUAAAAUUGUUGUUUUAUAUUUUUAACUAUAAA